CCUUCCAGUUAUAUGAAUACGAUCCUUGAAUAAAAAAAUGCUCUUUAAUGCUAGCGGACAUCAUAAAGACACCCUUCCUCCAUUUUUUCUUAUGAAUUCUAUUUAUGGUAACCCUCAAUCCAUUACGUUAAACUAAAUAUUUAACAAAUUUACAUUACCGUGUUUACUAUAACGCAUCAGUGUCAGGCUCCCAAAAAUUCUGUACUUUCCAGAUUCUUUGAAUACUAUUAUGGACUGGUUAGUUUCAAAAGAGAUUGUAUUAAUUAUUUUCUUAACUUCAAGUAGUACUCGGAAAUCAUUCUUCUCACUAGUUUAUAAAACCACCGAGCACUUAUGCAGAGAGUAAACUAACACAUCCAAUAAUUACAUCCACAUGCUUAAUGCUUUCUUAUUGUACUUAACUUUCUUUUCAUAACAUAAACUUUUUAAAUCACCAAUUACACUUUUAAAAUUCGUCUGAUUACCUGCGCCG